AUAAGGCUUGGCUCUGACCUUUGUGUAUAAUAUAAACUAAAAGAAACACAUGAUUUUUAUAGAUAGAGGCGAGGAAGAGAUAUGAUUAAAGAAUUUUGGUGCUCUACCUUAUUUAACUUUGAUCCUCUUAGGUAUUAUGCUUAACAUGAUGCUUUGAAAAGUCCCGCUAACAUCAGUGUUUAAUAUUAAGAAAGAAAAGAAAUUUUGAAUUAGUUUAGUAUCUAUAAGGCCUGGUAAACUUGGUGCCAGCAUCCGCGGUUAGACCAAGAUGGCCAAAUUAUUCUAUCUAGGUUGAAAAGGCAGUUAAACAAUAAGUUUAAGUUACAGAAUUAUUUAUUUAGAAGUGAAAUUUAAACAUAAAUAAAAGGAUCAAAAUAUACUUAUUGAGUUGAGUCUGCGACAGUUUGUAGGGAAACUGGGAUUAGAUACCCCAUUAUUACUUACUGUAAAUUGAUUUACAUUUACCUGAGUACUAUGAAUAUAAAGAAAUUUAAAACUCAAAGGGCUUGGCGGUGUUUUAGACCACUUAGGGGAACCUGUCUCGUAAUCGAAAGUCCACGUCAUACCUAACCCUUUUUUGUGUUCAGUCUGUAUACCGUCGUCGUCAGGUAACUUUAAAAAAUAUAGAAGUUGGCCAAAAAAUUACAUUAGUUUAGACGUCAGAUCAAGGUGCAACCUACAAAAGGGGGAGGAUGGGUUACAAUUAAAAAUUAUAAUACGGAAAGGAGGUUGAAAUUUCCAACUAUAAGGAGGACUUAAAAGUAAGAAUUUAAUUAUAAAAAUUUUCUGAAUUUGGCUCUGAAACGUGCACACAUCGCCCGUCGCUCUCGUUGAAAAAUGAGAUAAGUCGUAACAUAGUAGGGGUAAUGGAAAUUGUCCCUGGAUGAAA
rnacentral:ncRNA from 1 species